GUCUCUUCCCACAGCAGUGGUGCAGGGAGGAGCCCCUCUUGCAGCCGUUGGGAGAGACAGAACAAAAACCAGAGGAAAGUUGUCAUGGCUGCCAGGAAGCUUGUGGCUGCCAUGUUUUCCUGCCUCUUACAUUG
rnacentral:snoRNA from 1 species